UAUUACCAAUCAUGGCUGAGGAUAAGAGGGCUGGUGAAGCUACUCGCAAGGGAUUCUAUGUAUACGAUGACAAGCGGAAGGCUAACCCAGACCCUGAAAUAAAGAAGUACAUUGAGAAAUCAAGGAGCAUGGCUGGUGUUACACCUGAUCCUGAGCUAAUGAAAUUCACGGAUAAGGAUAUAGUAGAGAUGGUCUUCCUACCUGUCGUGAACGAGGCCUGCCGCGUCCUUGAUGAGGGAAUUGCAGUCAAGGCAUCGGAUCUCGAUAUUGCAUCCAUCAUGGGCAUGGGCUUUCCCCCUUACAGGGGUGGCAUAAUGUUUUGGGCCGAUUCCCUCGGACCGAACUAUAUCCUCGUAAGAUUGAAUGAAUGGACGAAGAAGUACGGAGAUUUCUUCAAGCCUUGUGCCUAUUUGGCAGACCGAGCUGCCAAAGGCAGAACUCUGAGUGCCCCAGCCAACGA
rnacentral:misc_RNA from 1 species